UACGUAGGUGGCAAGCGUUGUCCGGAAUUAUUGGGCGUAAAGCGCGCGCAGGCGGUCCUUUAAGUCUGAUGUGAAAGCCCACGGCUCAACCGUGGAGGGUCAUUGGAAACUGGGGGACUUGAGUGCAGGAGAGAAAAGUGGAAUUCCACGUGUAGCGGUGAAAUGCGUAGAGAUGUGGAGGAACACCAGUAGCGAAGGCGACUUUUUGGCCUGUAACUGACGCUGAGGCGCGAAAGCGUGGGGAGCAAACAGG
rnacentral:rRNA from 1 species